UUGGAGAAAGGGCUGCGUGCACCUACACAUUGUGAAGCGAACAGAGACGAAGAAAGAAAAGCAGCAGCUACAUGCCUCAGCGAAACGGUCGACCUACAUCCUCACAAACCGCGGUCGACUUUGGGCUGCUCAAAACCUCGCAGCUUCACGCGUCAGCAACCGAAAGCCCUCAUAGAACAGUAGCAAGACACUCGGUGGCACACACCUCCUCGGCUUAUCCUUCAAGACUGACUUGCGGCCCUGUUUAGUGACGGGACGGACCCUGACCAACGGACAUCUGACGCCAGAGCGGGUCUUCCCUCACUGCAACGACUCGUACACCCGCUCCUUCUCUUCAUCUCGCUUCUUCUCUCGAGAAGAGCGUCAAGCAUUGUCUGCGACAGCGACACACAAGUGACCAGAACAACCGUAUCGCCGUGCAAUGAAGCCGAAAGCGGCCCAGGUGCGGCAGCAGCAGUCGCUGAAUCGGCGCGUCAAGCUAGAGGAGAGUGCUGCGCGGGUGCAACAGGACCUCCUCGCACGACAGGCUGUCAUGCGCAACAUGGGCGGCGGACAGCAGAGGAACCCCAUGUACGGGUAUGCGGGUCACCCAGCGCGCAACCGCGACCCCAACCGCGGCGUCAUUACGCAGGCCGAAUGGAGCGAGCUUGUGGAGCGGCACGAAGACUCGGGCAAGUGUUUUCGCUACUUCUUUGGCGUUCUCGUUUUCGCUGCCAUCCUCCUCCUCACAAUCUCCAAGUACGACGAGGAAUACAACUUGGAGGUGCCGCAGGUGGAGUCUGGUAAGGGCUUUGGGGAGGUCCUAAACCCUGAGCGCGCUGUGGACGCCAAGGAGCUGGAGGGCUACUACCACACGCUCGGCGUCGAGGGCCGCCUUAACCUGACGCACACGGCGGUUCCACCUGCGACCGAUGCGUCUGAGGGGAACGGGUCGUCGCGGAAGGCUGCCGACGACCCCGAUAAGGCGCGCCGCCGCGAGAACUACCAGGUGCGGCAACAAAUCAAGCGGGCCUUUCAGGAUCACCAGGAGAAGUACGGCCAGCUAGUCCACUGCGGUCGCACGUGUGAGGCGCAGAACAAACAGGUAGAGCUUGCUUAUCAAAAGCUGACGUCGCAGGUAGAUCGGGAGCUCUUUGGCGUGCUGCUGGACGCGAAGGACACCAAGUCUGUGCGGUCCACCACCCCUGCUCAGCUCAAGAUGAAAUACGAGGAGAAGCGCCAGAAGAUCUUAGAGACGGAGGAGGACGAGGAGGACCGCAACAUGGCGCUGGAGGAGCUGAAGGACGCGUAUGAGAUCAUCGAGAACCCUGAUGCACGCAAGUACUACCUUCUCUAUGGCGCAAAGCCACCGGAGCAUAUGCGCCACGUUAGCGCCCGCCACGGUGGCUGGGGGCAGGAGAUGGCGCUGGGAACCUUCAAGUACCGCAUCAUCAUUAUGUGGUUGGAGUUCCUGCACCAGUACAUUGGUGUGUGGGGCGAGACCGCCGUUCUCGGAUGCGUCGUGCUUUUUAUGCUGUCGCGCCUUCCUCAGGCGCUGAAGGACUCACAGCGGCUCCUGGACGAGCUGGACCUUGAGGACGAGCACGCCGAGGAGGAGAAAAGGGCGGCAGAGCAGGAAGUGCAGAGAGAGUAAGCCACCGUUUUCAUGAUGUGGCCAUGCAUCUUUUUCAAGCUCGGAUAUUCCGUUGUUGCGGAGCCGUGUGGGUGCUGUGGUGCACAUUUCCGUCGGGCGAGGUAGAGAGAGAUGCAUGCAUAAUAGACAGCUGUCAAGGCGCGCGCACACACACACACACACAAACCCUCUCCGCACACUGCCUAGAAUCUCUCCCUGCGAUCUCCUCUCCUUCCCUGGCGCCUCUCUUCCCCGCACCCUGUCGCGGCACGUGCCCCUGCCUCGUGCACGGUCGGUUACGCGUGGGUGAGGCUGCCUUGCGGACAUGUUUGUACGUCACACCCGUGUGAUUGUGCGUGGGCUUUCUUAAUUCUUUUUGAUCGCCUAUGCUGGCAUCUUCGCGGUUUGGUUCUUUUCAGCGAAGCUACUUUUGUGCUGAGUCGUUCUUCCAGCUCUUCCUAUGCGUGAUGCAGUGAUUGCCACCAUCGUGUU
rnacentral:misc_RNA from 1 species